UGACAGAGCCUCCUUCCUAUGAAAGCACUGU
rnacentral:piRNA from 1 species